rnacentral:rRNA from 1 species
UAUUGGUCAAUGGGCCGGAGCCUGAACCAGCAACGCCGCGUGAGGGAAGACGGUUUUCGGAUUGUAAACCUCUGUACUCUGUGAAGAUGAUGACGGUAGCAGAGGAGGAAGCUCCGGCUAACUACGUGCCAGCAGCCGCGGUAAUACGUAGGGAGCGAGCGUUGUCCGGAUUUACUGGGUGUAAAGGGUGCGUAGGCGGCUAUGCAAGUCAGUAGUGAAAUCCAUGGGCUUAACCCAUGAACUGCUAUUGAAACUGCACAGCUUGAGUGAAGUAGAGGUAGGCGGAAUUCCCGGUGUAUCGGUGAAAUGCGUAGAGAUCGUGAGGAACACCAGUGGCGAAGGCGGCCUACUGGGCUUUAACUGACGCUGAGGCACGAAAGCGUGGGUAGCAAACAGG